rnacentral:rRNA from 1 species
UACGUAGGGUGCAAGCGUUAAUCGGAAUUACUGGGCGUAAAGCGUGCGCAGGCGGUUAUGUAAGACAGAGGUGAAAUCCCCGGGCCCAACCUGGGAACUGCCUUUGUGACUGCAUAGCUGGAGGGCGGCAGGGGGGGAUGGAAUUCCGCGUGUAGCAGUGAAAUGCGUAGAUAUGCGGAGGAACACCGAUGGCGAAGGCUAUCCCCUGUGCCUGCACUGACGCUCAUGCACGAAAGCGUGGGGAGCAAACAGG